UAUUUAAAGGGGGGCUCAAGUUCACUGCAUGCUAAUCAUUAAUAAUGAAAUGAGGACAAAACUGUAAUGUGUUGACCUUUUUUUACACAAAAGUAUAACCAACUGAAAUAUUCACUAUCAUCUGAUUCUACCAGCCGAGGGUGCUAGGAGCAUCCGCCGUGAGAGCAGCCGCAGCACUCCACAGCACAUGUUCUAAAAAGGCUUUCAGUCAGCUCCCACGUUGCGUCUCCUGGCCAGGGUGCGCCCUGAGCAGAGAAAGCUCUUCAGCCCGGGCACCAGAGGAGGAUGUUCACAAGCAAAGGAACCUAAUCUUUCCCAGCAGGGAUCCAAGCGGCUCUGCAUUGACAGUCACUCACCCGGCAAUGACUGUCACCAGCGCAAAGAGCCAGCCGCCAACAGAGGCCGACCACAUCAAACGAGCCUGUCGAGGGGCCCUGCUCGUGAACCAUAGCAACAAACACCUCCUGAUCCUCACCUACAUCUCAGCAGCA
ensembl:lncRNA